rnacentral:rRNA from 1 species
UACGUAGGGCGCAAGCGUUAUCCGGAAUUAUUGGGCGUAAAGAGCUCGUAGGCGGUCUGUCGCGUCGGCUGUGAAAACUCGGGGCUCAACCCCGAGCCUGCAGUCGAUACGGGCAGACUAGAGUGCUGUAGGGGAGACUGGAAUUCCUGGUGUAGCGGUGAAAUGCGCAGAUAUCAGGAGGAACACCGGUGGCGAAGGCGGGUCUCGUGGGCAGUAACUGACGCUGAGGAGCGAAAGCGUGGGGAGCGAACAGG